rnacentral:rRNA from 1 species
GAUGAACGCUGGCGGCGUGCCUAAUACAUGCAAGUCGAGCGAACAGACGAGGAGCUUGCUCCUCUGACGUUAGCGGCGGACGGGUGAGUAACACGUGGAUAACCUACCUAUAAGACUGGGAUAACUUCGGGAAACCGGAGCUAAUACCGGAUAAUAUAUUGAACCGCAUGGUUCAAUAGUGAAAGACGGUUUUGCUGUCACUUAUAGAUGGAUCCGCGCCGCAUUAGCUAGUUGGUAAGGUAACGGCUUACCAAGGCAACGAUGCGUUGCCGACCUGAGAGGGUGAUCGGCCACACUGGAACUGAGACACGGUCCAGACUCCUACGGGAGGCAGCAGUAGGGAAUCUUCCGCAAAGGGCGAAAGCCUGACGGAGCAACGCCGCGUGAGUGAUGAAGGUCUUCGGAUCGUAAAACUCUGUUAUUAGGGAAGAACAAAUGUGUAAGUAACUAUGCACGUCUUGACGGUACCUAAUCAGAAAGCCACGGCUAACUACGUG